ACCAUCGGAAGAAGCUGCCCUUUAAUGUUUAAAUCAAGGUGGCUCCCUCGUGAACAAGCCCCAUAGUAUGCUGACUAAAAAGGAAUAACCCCUCCAGCCGUAACCAUCGGAAGAAGCUGCCCUUUAAUGUUUAAAUCAAGGUGGCUCCCUCGUGAACAAGCCCCAUAGUAUGCUGACUAAAAAGGAAUAACCCCUCCAGCCGUAACCAUCGGAAGAAGCUGCCCUUUAAUGUUUAAAUCAAGGUGGUUAAAUAGUACUAUUAGCUCAGGCUGGAAGUUGCUGUAAAGGAUCCAUGACUGCCUAAAUUUCAGGGAAUCAAUUUGCAUCUCCCUAAAAUACCUCCCUAAAAUACUUCCCUAAGAAGUACUUUUAAUUGAGUAUUUUAAAUCAAAUACAGUGAAACUCACUUGAAAUCUGGCAAAAACACAGAAAAUUGAAUUCAAACAAAUGUAUAUCCAUCUCUCGAGAUAAUCAGGCUAUUUACCCAGCUGAACUCCUGGCUAUAGUAGGGACGGUUUAAUUACACCUCCCCCUUAAAGCGAGGUUUUAAAAACCUCGCAGGAACCCGCCAUUUUUUCAAACUGGAUCCUACAGGUAACUUCCUUACCUACCUUAAUAUGUCGCUCUAAGCGCAUUUAGACUAUAUUGUUUUUACUCCAUGGACAAGAUUUGAACGCUAUUGUAGGUACAAGGCUAAUUAUAAAUCCUAGCAGCAGUACAGAGUGGCUCCCUCGUGAACAAGCCCCAUAGUAUGCUGACUAAAAAGGAAUAACCCCUCCAGCCGUAACCAUCGGAAGAAGCUGCCCUUUAAUGUUUAAAUCAAGGUGGUUAAAUAGUACUAUUAGCUCAGGCUGGAAGUUGCUGUAAAGGAUCCAUGACUGCCUAAAUUUCAGGGAAUCAAUUUGCAUCUCCCUAAAAUACCUCCCUAAAAUACUUCCCUAAGAAGUACUUUUAAUUGAGUAUUUUAAAUCAAAUACAGUGAAACACACUUGA